rnacentral:ribozyme from 1 species
AAAAAAAAAAAAAAAAAAAAAAAAAAAAUGU